UUUUUUCCCAUUAAUGAACAAUAAUGGGCCUAUUGUGAGUAGUAAUGGCCUACCUCUAAACGGUAAUGGGCUAGUCAUUUACUAUCGCCAACGUGGCCCAGUUAUUAUUCAUAUAUUUUAGUAAUAUUUAUAUUUUGUACCAAAUCUUGAUGAUAAUACGAUAAACCCUUCAUGUUAAUGUGAUAAAUCCCUUCGUCUCCAUUGCUCUCCAUGGCUCCCUCCCCUCGCCUCCUCCCAACUCCCCACAACUACCAUCUUGAGCCUUUGCUGCUCAAUCCGUAGACAUUCUCAUGAUCGUCUCAUUUGUCCCUUUUCUGCCCUUCCUCAAGAUAAAGGAUGUCUGUCAUCAUCUUUGCAUCUCGGGAAAUCUAUGGAAGAGCAGUUGUCAGAUGAAUCAACAAAGCCUAAUUUCUCUUGAACAAGGAAGGAGAUGGUAUUUUCCCAUCUUUAAGGAUUUAGCAUUUUUCUAUGUCAUCGUUGUUGACAUUGUCAAUAUGUAGAAUUAUUUAAUUCUUUAUUUAAUACAAAAUCUGAAGUUCAUAUUCGUUGAGCCCUAUAGGAGUUUCUUAGAACCUUAUCUCUAGAUCUUGUUUGAUUUUGAUGAUUGUUUUGUUGUAUGCGGUCUCGGCAAUUGAUGUUGAAAAGCACCAUCAAUUUUAAUUUCACACAUGCUUGCAUAUUGUUUUAAAUUAUUUGCCGGAUUGCUUAUUUCUCUUUUGCUCAUGCUUUCUGGAGGAAAGGAAAGUUAUAUAGUGUAGUAGGGCCAGUAAGAUAAUCUCCUCUUUAGAAUAUGGUGUAAUUUAUUUUCCUCUUAUUUUUAUUUCAUUAUGUUCUUGGUAUCCGUCCUUUUAGGCUUUUGAUGUCUGUGAUCACCUAGUAUAAUUCUUUUUAUUAAAAGGUCAAAAAGGGUAGACAAAUGAAAUUUAAUAUAAUUAUGUUUAAGCCAGAAGAUGACAUAGUCUACACAAGAUUGACUUCUUAAUAUAGACAACAAUUAUUGGGCUUCUCAUUGAUGCUCAAUUUAUAUUUAUGAUUGGGAUAACAAUAAUUUGAUGAAAUAAUAAUUGUUUCAUCUAUUAAUUAUCAAGAUUUUUUUGAUUAAAAUGUAUAAUAAGAUCAAAGUUCAGAACACAUUAGCUGGCUUUAAAGCAGCCACAGAUGGCCUCAAAAUUCCCAAAAAUAUAGAUUGGUUUGAUGUAAGAUGGUUGUUGGUUCGUGCCUUAAUCAAAAGCUCGAAAUAAAAGUUUACAAAGGUUUAUAGCUAUGAAAUUUGGAUUGAAUUAAAAGAUCCUCCUCUUUUGGUUCUAUUGUAGGAUCAAAUGACAAGGAUGAGCUCUGGUAUUAAUUAGCAUCAAUGUCAUUGUGGAAGGAGGUGGCAUCUUUUUUUACAAUAUGCAGUAAGCCAGCUUUGUUAUCGACAAAAGACCUUGUCCUCUCCAAAUUGGAUUAGGUCUUCCUGAAUAAUGUCUUUUUAGCUUAUAUAUUUUGAGAUAUUUUUGCAAAAGUGUAUAAUUUGGUAAUUUUAUCAAAAGCUGGUCUUUAUGUUCUUUUAGAACUUCACUCAUGUUUAAUUAUGUACAAAAUUUGCUGCUAUUUUAACUUCGUAUCCAUAAUUUAUAUUCUCCUUCCUGAUUUUUGUCUGUUAUUUUUCCAAAUUUGUUGUAGUCUACCUUUUAAUACUCCAUGAGUCUACAAUCAUGUGUUUGUAUGGUAAUUAAACUGGUAUAACAUAAGUGCCUUCACAUGGGAAAUUUGAGAGUUUUUUGCACAGAAGUCCUAUUCAUGUGAGAUUUUCAGCAAGAAUUUAUUGAACAUGACAUCUAGAUCCUUCCUAGAAUUAUUUUUGUACAUUUUUUAUUAUAGGAAGUAGAUCAUUUACUGGAAAACUACUUCAUCUCAUGAAUCUGCAUUUUAAACCUGCAUUUGUCUUAUAAACAUGAUCCUUUAUUAUCUCUUUUCAUGCUGGCCAUGUAGACAUUCGUGUUGGUUACCAUUUUUUUUUUGUAAUGUCCUUAAACUUUAAACAUUUAUCCACUAGGCAUUAUGAUUUAUUCUCCUUAUUGUAUUCCUUAUGUGCAUAAUAUUUUUGUCUAGAACAUGUGAUUUUUCCUUCACAUAGGCAUUCCAAGUGCUCUUAAAUCAAUUUAAAAGUUCUUUGUCGAGUACUCACAUAUGAAACUAUACUUACAACCAGUGAUUUAAAAAGCGCUAGGCGCCAAGGUCUAAAAACACCCGAGAAGCUAGGCGCUUGCUCGAGCAAAGCGAGACGCUAAAAUAUAAAAAUAUAUAAUAUAAUUAAUAAAUAAAAUUAUUUAAACAAAAAAUAUAUUAUUAAAUUAAGAAAAUCGGGUAUAAAAUCACAAUGUCACGUUAACAAAAAGUCUAAAAAAUCAAAACAAUAAAAUUUUACAUCAAAUCUAUAGAGUUGCUCUAUACAUUUACCAUUUAUUCUGAAACCUAAAAAUAAUUUUAAAUAAAUAAAAAUUAAAAGUAUUAAAAUUAAAAAUAAUAUAUUAUUGAUCUAAUAAAUAAAAAUAAUGUUAUUAGUAUAUAGUUAGUAGUAUACUGUUAGUAGUAUACUGUUAAUAUACUGUUAACAGUAUAGUGAGAAGAGCAUGAGAAGAUCGAGGCUAAUGAGGCAAUAGCUGCAGUAGCAGUCGGUAGUGACACCGGGAACGGCGACAGUGGUCGUGAUAGCAACGGCAAGCGACGAUUGUGGCAGCGGCGAGCAGUCGGCGAGCAAUGAUUGUGGUAGCGACAAGUAGCAACAGUAGCGGCAAUCAACGAUAAUGGAAGCGGCAGUAGAGAAGAAAUCUCGGUGGUAAAAUCGCGAGAGCUAGGGUUGGGAUUCUUUACUCAUCACAAGACUAUAAAGUAUAUUUUUACCUUGAAAGAGUCAAAUACGAGAUCAUGGUGACAUAUAGAAAGUUUAAAGGAUUAUGAUUGUACCUUCUGUUAUCACUUAGGUAAGGCCAAUAUUGUAGUUUAUACAGGUAGUAGAAAAUGUAGUAGUUUUAUGGCUAAUCUAAUGGUUAAGCAAUGGAAAUCAAUGGAAAAAAUUAUGACCUCGAGGUUUUGUGGAUAGUACGAGACUCUAUGAUUUUGAUAGCCUCUAUCCAGGUUCUAUAUUAUCUCAUUCGACAAAUUAAAGAAUGACAAUUACACGAUCUACGUUUAGUCUACUUGAGGAAUGAAGUAGAAAUCGAUGAAAGAUUUCUUUGAUAUCUUUUAGGAAUCUAGGAUGCCAAGGACAUCUGGUCGUCUUGAGGAAUGAAGUACAAAUGGUAGUGAAGUCGAAUUUUUAAAUUUUAGAUGAUGACUUAUUGACAUUUGGGAUAGAGUGUGUGUUCGAAAAGACCCAUAUUAUGAUUUGAAAAUUAUGAGAAAUGGGCUGGACUCAUUGAUAUUGAUGGCCUCUAUCUAUUUGCAAUAUGAUCUCAUUCAACAAAUUUAGGAAGGGCAACUCUGAGAUCCACAUUUAAUCUACUUGAGGAAUGAAGUAUAAAAGGGAUUGAAGUCGAAUUUUUAAAUUUUGGAGGAUGGCCUUUUGAGUUUCGGGAUAGAGUAUGUGUUCUAAAUGACCCAAUUAUCAAUAACUAAAUCCUGAAGCUAGGUAAUAUUUCAAAAUAUGUGAUAAUUUGGAUUAGAUUGUUGAUUGCAUUUUAAUUUUAUGGAUUUGAAGACAAGGUCACACCUUUUGUAUGAGAUAAUUUGGCGGGAGUGACAAAGGUGGUAUUGGAGCAUGAUUUAAGGAUUAUUAAGAUAUUUGAUUCAUUUGAUGUGCAUAAUUAUAUUGAGGUUUAGUAAAUUAUAUAGAGAUCGAUGAAAAUUUUAUUUGAUGUCUUCUAGGAAUCUAGGAUGACAUCGACAUUUUGUCUUCUUGCUUCAUCUUCAAGUGGGUCCUAUUGUCACCUCCAUGCUCUCAUUGCGUGUCCUCGUGUAAUUACAUCAUAAUCGCAUUCAUGCAAACCCUAAUAAUAAAAAUGUCAUCAAUGAUUUUAUGAUUAUUAGAUGAAAACUACGAUUUGAUUGUUAUAAGAAAUGGGCAGGACUCGAUGAUAUUGAUGGUCUCUAUCUAUGUGCAAUCUGAUCUCAUUCACAAAUUUAAAAAGGAUAACUAUGAGAUCCACAUUUAAUAUGCUUGAGGAAUGAAUUAGAAAUAUGAUUGAAGCCGAGCUUUCAAAUUUUAGAGGAUGGCCUUUGGAGUUUUGGGAUAGAGUAUGUGUUCUAAAUGACCCAAUUAUCAAUAUAACCAAAUCCUGAAGCAAGGUCAUAAUUCAAAAUACAUCAUGCAUUCUGAUAGCACUAAGAUGUAUAGGGUUCUCCAAAGUCAUUAUUAGUGAGGAGGUUUGAAGAAGGUGAUUGCGAUGUAUGUUUCAAAGUGUUUGACUUGUCGGAAAAUUAAAGCAGAAACUUGCUACAACCGACGUAGGCUUGAUAAGAGAAGAGAAGAGGAAUUGAAGUAGGAGAAGUUUUGCUUUGGCUUAAUGUUUCGGAUCAAAUCCUCAUAUUUGUGAUUCAAAUGUUUCUGAGGCUAGUGUUAAAUGCUUUUGUUGUAUAAGUACACUUUGUGCCUAAUUAAAUGUCGAUGGUAAAUAUGAACUUACGUGUUUUGUGGAAGUUUUAAAAGACUUCUUAUGUUUAGGAUUUUGGAAUGAUAAGUUUAAUUUGUAUAAUGAUACGACCUUGUGAUCAAUGUUAGUUUUGUGAUUGUAUAAAUUCCCACACUAAUGGAUUUUAUGAUGUGGUUUCGUUUACAUGAGUUGGCUUUGGAUUUUAUGAAUCUUUGAGUGUUGUGUCGUAUGAUUAUAACUACCAAGUCUUAUGAAUUGUGGAUUAUGGGUGUGAAUUAUGACUUGAAUGAUUUUUAGUGUCAUCAAAUUUAGGAUUUCGUCUUAGAUUGUUGACUGAAUGAUUUAGUAAAUUAUGACUUGAAUGAUUUUUAGUGUCCUCAAAUUUAGUUUGGAUUUCGUAUUAUAUUGUUGACUGAAUUUUAAUAUUAUGGAUUUUAAGACAGGGUCACACCUCCUGAAUGUGAUAAAUCGGGG
rnacentral:lncRNA from 1 species